CCCAAACCUCCUCAAAACCUUCAACCCAGUCUCUGCGACGGUCGACGGCAGCGGCACGACGACCUCGUCUCGUUCUCGCGACAUCACUCUGUCAGUCUCGCUUUUGGUGGCGGAGCAGAAGAAAGAAAAGAAAAAAAUAAGAAGGGGUCGGGAAAGAGAGGAGAAAGAAGAGGAUAUGGAUGUUAAGAAAGAUAGAGAAGAAAAGAAGAAGAAAUAGGAAGAGGGAAGAAGUCAAGUAG
rnacentral:lncRNA from 1 species